rnacentral:rRNA from 1 species
AGGAUAAACGCUGGCGGCGUGCCUAAUGCAUGCAAGUCGAACGGGACGCUCUUCGGGGCACGACCGUGGCGGACGGGUGAGGAACACGUAGCUGACCUGCCCUGGUGUGGGGGAUAUCCUCCGGAAACGGAGUGUAAGACCGCAUGAGCUUCAGUUGGGGGACCGACUGAAGGAAAGUCGCAAGACGCACCUGGAGGGGGCUGCGGCCGAUUAGCUAGUUGGUGAGGUAACGGCUCACCAAGGCGAUGAUCGGUAGCUGGUCUGAGAGGACGAUCAGCCACACGGGGACUGAGACACGGCCCCGACUCCUACGGGAGGCAGCAGCAAGGAAUUUCCACAAUGGGCGCAAGCCUGAUGGAGCAACGCCGCGUGGGAUGACGCGCUUCGGCGUGUAACUCCUUUUCGAGGGACGAAGCUAAUGACGGUACCCUCGGAAGAAGGAUCGGCUAACUACGUGCCAGCAGCCGC